rnacentral:rRNA from 1 species
ACGAACGCUGGCGGCGCGUCUUAACCAUGCAAGUCGAGCGGCAGGCAGCAAUGCCGAGAGCGGCGGACUGGUGAGUAACACGUGGAUAACGUACCCCGAUGUCCGGGACAGCCUGUAGAAAUAGAGGGUAAUACCGGAUAGAUCACUGUUUACGUGAGGUAGACAGCGGGAAAGGAGCUUCGGCUCCGCGACGGGAUCGGUCUGCGGCCCAUCAGCUGGACGGCGGGGUAAAGGCCCGCCGUGGCGAGGACGGGUAUCCGGCCUGAGAGGGCGGACGGACACAUUGGGACUGAGAUACGGCCCAGACUCCUACGGGAGGCAGCAGGUAAGAAUAUUCCGCAAUGGGGGGGAACCCUGACGGAGCGACGCCGCGUGAACGAAGAAGGCCGGAAGGUUGUAAAGUUCUUUUCUGUCCGAGGAAUAAGUUUCGGAGGAAAUGCCGGGACGGUGACGGUAGGGCAGGAAUAAGCACCGGCUAAUUACGUG